GUGCCGACGAUGCGUAGGGGUUCUGAGAGGAAGGCCCCCCACACUGGUACUGAGACACGGACCAGACUCCUACGGGAGGCAGCAGUGAGGAAUAUUGGUCAAUGGCCGAGAGGCUGAACCAGCCAAGUCGCGUGAGGGAAGAAUGUCCUAAGGAUUGUAAACCUCUUUUGUCGGGGAGCAAAAAGGCUCUGCGGAGUCGUAUUGAGAGUACCCGAAGAAAAAGCAUCGGCUAACUCCGUGCCAGCAGCCGCGGUAAUACGGAGGAUGCGAGCGUUAUCCGGAUUUAUUGGGUUUAAAGGGUGCGCAGGCGGCGUGUCAAGCAAGCGGUAAAAUAGCGGGGCUCAACCCCGUCGAGCCGUUUGAACUGGCGCGCUUGAGUUCAGGCGAGGUAGGCGGAAUUCGUGGUGUAGCGGUGAAAUGCAUAGAUAUCACGAAGAACUCCGAUUGCGAAGGCAGCUUACCAGUCUGCGACUGACGCUCAGGCACGAAAGUGUGGGUAUCGAACAGGAUUAGAUACCCUGGUAGUCCACACAGUAAACGAUGAGCGCUAGGUGUCCGGGUCGCAUGAGACUUGG
rnacentral:rRNA from 1 species